rnacentral:rRNA from 1 species
CUCAGUAACACGCGGAUAAUCUACCCUUAGGUUUGGGAUAACCCCGGGAAACUGGGGAUAAUAUCGGAUAUUUCAAGGCUGCUGGAAUGCACUUUGAUUAAAAGCUCCGGCGCCUAAGGAUGAGUCUGUGGCCUAUCAGGUAGUAGUGGGUGUAAAGUACCUACUAGCCAGUGACAGGUACGGGUUGUGAGAGCAAGAUCCCGGAGAUGGAUUCUGAGACACGAAUCCAGGCCCUACGGGGUGCAGCAGGCGCGAAACCUUUACAAUGCGCGAAAGCGCGAUAAGGGAACCCUGAGUGCCAGCACACAGUGUUGGCUGUCCAACUGUUCAAAAAACAGCUGAUAGCAAGGGCCGGGCAAGACCGGUGCCAGCCGCCGCGGUAACACCGGCGGCCCGAGUGGUAACCGAUUUUAUUGGGCUUAAAGCGUUCGUAGCCGGUUUGGAAAGUCUCUUAGGAAAUCUGGCAGCUUAACUGCUAGGCGUCUAAGAGAUACUGUUAAACUUGGGACCGGGAGAGGUAGGAGGUACUCCAUGGGUAGGGGUGAAAUCUUGUAAUCCUUGGAGGACCAUCGAUGGCGAAGGCAUCCUACCAGAACGGGUCCGACGGUGAGGGACGAAAGCUGGGGGCACAAACCGGAUUAGAUACCCGGGUAGUCCCAGCUGUAAACGAUGCUCGCUAGGUGUCGGGUACGGUGCGUCCGUAUUCGGUGCCGUAGGGAAACCGCGAAGCGAGCCGCCUGGGAAGUACGGUCGCAAGGCUGAAACUAAAG